GAUGAAGAACGUAGCGAAAUGCGAUAAGUAAUGUGAAUUGCAGAAUUCAGUGAAUCAUCGAAUCUUUGAACGCACAUUGCGCCCGUCAGUAUUCUGGCGGGCAUGCCUGUUCGAGCGUCAUUACGCCCCUCAAGUCCCCUGUGGACUUGGUGUUGGGGAUCGGCGAGGCUGGUUUUCCAGCACAGCCGUCCCUUAAAUUAAUUGGCGGUCUCGCCGUGGCCCUCCUCUGCGCAGUAGUAAAACACUCGCAACAGGACCCCGGCGCGGUCCACUGCCGUAAAACCCCCCAACUUUUUAUAGUUGACCUCGAAUCAGGUAGGACUACCCGCUGAACUUAAGCAUAUCAAUAAGCGGAGGA
rnacentral:misc_RNA from 1 species